CUGAACCACACAGAAAGACCUGUCCCGGGGGAGAGAAGAGGAGGAGAAGGAAUUCAUAGGCUUGAGAAUGAAGCUGUGGUUCAAUGGAAGAGCAGUUGAUGGGCCUUCCUAUAAGACCUAGGGUUCCAAACCCAACACAAGGAAAGAAAAGAAGGGAGGGAAGGAAGGAAGAAAAGAAAGAAGAGACUGAAAAGAGAGGCAAAGAUGUAGAGCUCAGCUCCUCCUGCACCAUGCCUGCCUGGAUGUGGCAAUGCUGCCCUGCUCCUGCCUUGAUGAUAAUGGACUGAACCUCUAAACCUGGUAUGGGCACAGCCAGGGCCUCUGCUCUCCAGAGAGGAUGGUAGCCUGAGCAGGUUAGGUCACUGCAGAGGAAGCUCUCAUAGACUUAAGAGAAUCGGCUGACACACUAGACAGAAACACAAAGGAGCAGCACAAGGUUUCUUUGUGGCUGUCCUGAAACUCACUCUGAAGACAAGGCUGGCCUUGAAUAGAGAUCCACCUGCCUCUUCCUCCCAAGUGCACAACCACCACUUGGCUUAAAAAUAAAUUUAGGAAGGAGUUUCAGCU